rnacentral:lncRNA from 1 species
AAAAAAAUUGGAUCCUAAGAGAUAAGACUUUUCUCACUAGAGCUUGAGGUCAUGGAAAUAUUUGAAUAUAGUAAAAUCUGUGAUGUUUUAUGACUUUAAAAAUAUUCCUCAUAUUAGAGAUUGCUAUUUUGGCUCGAACACAAAUGUCUAGAAAUUGUUUUCAAUUUGGAGGUUGAUCUUGUUUUGAUGGAAUUUGAAGUUUUGACUAUUCGUAGUAAACUCAUUGGGGGCAGUUUCUUAUUUACAUGCAAUAUCUUAAGUGAUACUCAUCUAACACUCGUGCAAACAAGAUUUGCUUUCAUUUGUUUGCCUGUUGAGUCACAGGUUAUCCACAACUAACAAACAACCUCCACCUUCCUUUCCAAGGCAAUGAAAUGAUGAAACAAUUAUUUUUGAACUUUUUUGGUUCAAGUAUGAUGUAAUUGAGCCAUGCCAAAUUGUAUCAAACGAGCAUCUUUUCAUAUUGAAUGAUAACUAGUGGUUUAGAGUACUUAUUAUCGAUCCUAUCACCUAUGGUUUCAUGGGUCUUUUUUUUCUUUUUUUUUUUAUUGUGGCGGGGGGUGGGGGGCGUGUUGGAUGGUUCUAAUGCCACAAUCCACCUUUACUUGCACCUCAUCUAACACUCGUGCAAACAAGAUUUGCUUUCAUUUGCUUGCCUGUUGAGUCAUAGGUUAUCCACAACUAACAAACAACCUCCACCUUCCUCUCCAAGGCAAUGAAAUGAUGAAACAAUUAUUUUUGAACUUUUUUGGUUCAAGUAUGAUGUAAUUGAGCCAUGCCAAAUUGUAUCAAACAAGCAUCUUUUGAUAUUGAAUGAUAACUAGUGGUUUAGAGUACUUAUUAUUGAUCCUAUCACCUAUGGUUUCAUGGGCUUUUUUUUUUU